rnacentral:sRNA from 1 species
UGCUGCCAUACGUCACUCAGUAACUUCAACAACGCAAUCACCUCACUCCCACUAUCAGUCGUCAUCGUAAUGACAUACGAUGAUACACGAAUGUCGUGUUUAACACAGAUGCCUGCCAUCACGGUCCAAACCUGCGAAGCCCAAGGGCGAAUACAAUGCGUCUACCAACGCCACACAUGUGGUAAACCACACAUAAGUACUAAUUUGAUCCCACGUAUUUCGACGUGUUCACCUCCUUGGUUAGAAGCGGAGCACUACCUAAAACUCCUUGAAAACGCAACUCCACGUACGACCGAAAACAACCACAAAAUCUACGGGAAACAACGAUGGACAAACGUCGCAGCGUUAACAUUGGCAUGUCAUGCGCAGCACCAAAUCACUCGGUCGCGCCAGUACAGCAACACCUCGUAAUGGAUAACUAGCGUGUAUUCAUGCCUUCGCUAAGUCUUGUCCGUCUCCUAUGAAAUACUUCCCGGGAGAUGGUGGCCAGCUUUGCAAUAGCCGUCUCGUAUUCAAGGGCCCUACUGAGAUCCCACACUGCCUCGCUAAUCCCCAUCGCGCCUAUAUAUCUAAUGUCUGCAUAGUACGGGCAUUCCCUCAGUGCAUGCUUCCAGCCCUCAGAUUUUCCACAGUCGCACAGAUCAGUCGCGGACAAGUUCCUCUGAUGCAAAAAUACAUUAAAGGGACCAUGUCCCGUCAGUAUGAAGCCCAGACUUAGGACGAAACCAAAGAUCGGCCGGUCUCGUCACGAAUAAAUUCGUAAGUCAUCCGACCAUUGUCACUGUUCGUCCAUAUAGUUUUCCUAUCAUCAUAACGCUCCAAAAGGAGUUCCUUGAGCCGCCUAACAUCUCCAACUGCAAGCUCAGAAGCAGUGAGCCAAUCCUCACACACUAAUGGAAUUCCCUUUUUCACACUAUGCAGAACGCCCAUGUAACUCAUGAGUAAGUCAAGCGGGGGCGCGCAAUAACUGUAGUGCAUCUGUCGAAACAGUCCUACACACAGGCAAGCAAGCUAGCAUUGCCACUCUCUGACAAGAGAGGAUCUUCUUUCGCCCUAAGACUGUCCCAGCAACUCCGUGCCAUACAGGCGCUCCAUAAGUUGCGCAAGCAUCAAAUCUUCUUUAAUCAGGAUGAGCAGGUCAAUCGCAUUUGCACUGAUUUUGAAGGAUUCAGCGAGACGUCCCAGCAGGGGAUCCAUCGUAAGGUUCCAUAUAUAUGGAGCACAGAUGGACCCCUGAGGACAACUACGCUGAAUAUCCCCUUCUACCACUGAAGUAACUACGCCAGAGAAAAAGUUCCCGACAAACUAUUUCGCCUAAUCUCGUGAGUACACUACGUUAUGAAAGGUAAUCAAACGCGCCUUUGAAAUCGACAAAUAUGCCAAGGACAUAUUUGGCACUCGACUCUCUCACACAGUUCUGCACAUGGAUUCAGGCACCUACAGUGCUCUCUUCCUCCCAAAAGCCGAACUAGAACCCUCCUCGUAGCCCUCCCUAAAUCUUUUGACCAAUAUCCUCUCCAAUACUUUCGCAAGCACGGGAGAAGACUGAUGCCCCGAUAUGAUAGUAUAAAUUGUGUAAUGACCAAGAUUAUAUUGUGUUUCCUUUCACGCAUGUGUAAUGCGAAAAAAAGUGCGAAUGAGUCAAAUAUAUGUCCAGUUUCUAUCACAUACAGACCCAAAGUGGUGUAACAAAAAAUAUCAAGACAAUUAGAAGUGUGUUUUUAAUCUCUACAUAAAACAUAUAUUUUUUGUUAUUCUAAAAUUGAACAAAUUUAUUGUGAACAAGUUUGCGCUGAAAUAGCGUAAUGCAGAAAAAUGCCGUAUGUGAACAUAUAGAACGGAUAAAUGCUAAACGCACCAAAUUGGAGGACAUUGUAGAAUUAGUAAUAUGUUUACAGCAAGGUUUAUAAAAAUGGGUUCGUCUCAGUAGAGGGACCCUGAGAUGGGUAGAAAUCAUCAUAGAUUUAAAACCACGCAUAAAAAAUUCUUA